rnacentral:tRNA from 1 species
GCCAAAGUGGUGGAACUUGGUAUACACGCUGGGUUUAGGUUCCAGUCCUUAACGGGAUAGGGGUUCAAAUCCCCUCUUUGGCA